UUUUAGGGUCAGGACCCAGUGUUAGAGUUUUAGGGUCAUGGCCCAGGGUUAGGGUUUUAGGGUCAGGGCCCAGGGUUAGGGUGAUUUCCAGGAAGUGACCUCACAGUGACUCAAGCUACCACUUACUGUUGAUUGUGAUGUAAUGCCAGCUGAGGCACAUGCCUUGGGAGCUAAGUGGUUGCUGCCCUUGACUACUAUGAAGACUGGUGUGGGAAGGGUCGCUUUGGAUGCACUUGAGCAGGGGUCCCCAAUCCCUGAGCCAUGGAGCCGUAAGGAGCCACACAGCAGGUGGGACCAUCCAGUUUCAGGAAAACAAGCUGAACACGCCCACUGAUUCUACAUUAUGCUCCUACCUCCCGGCAGCCUCGCCAGGCCCAGAACUCUCUCCAGUCAGCCUCUACAGACCAAGCUCAUGACUCACAAUGGCCUAUUGAGGCCCAUACCCUACCUCACGGCAGUCUCCGCAGAUGAGCCUACUGCCUCACAACAGCCUCCACAGGCACAGCUCCAUCGUUACAAUGGCCUCUUUAGACCCAGCUCCUGCCGCCCAGCCUUCUCUCCAGGCCCUGAACUUUCUCCGUAAGUUGAGGUAGCUGGGACUGU